UGAGGAAUAUUGGGCAAUGGGCGCAAGCCUGACCCAGCAACGCCGCGUGAAGGAUGAAGGCCCUUGGGUUGUAAACUUCUUUUGCAGGGGAAGAGAGCGGACGGUACCCUGAGAAUAAGUCACGGCUAACUACGUGCCAGCAGCCGCGGUAAUACGUAGGUGACAAGCGUUAUCCGGAAUUACUGGGCGUAAAGCGCACGCAGGCGGCUGAGAAAGUCUGACGUGAAAUCUCCCGGCUUAACCGGGAGCGGUCGUUGGAAACUACUUGGCUUGAGGCGAUGAGAGGGGUGUGGAAUUCCCGGUGUAGUGGUGGAAUGCGUAGAUAUCGGGAGGAACAUCAGUGGCGAAAGCGGCACCCUGGCAUUAGCCUGACGCUCAGGUGCGAAAGCGUGGGGAGCGAACGGG
rnacentral:rRNA from 1 species